rfam:Ciona savignyi cont_47796, whole genome shotgun sequence.
CGGCCUGAGGUCGGACGAGGCUACCCGCUGAAUUUAAGCAUAUUACUAAGCGGAGGAAAAGAAACUAACGAGGAUUCCCUCAGUAACGGCGGAGUGAAGCGGGACGAGCCCAGCGCCGAAUCCGGCCGCUUAUGGAGCGGACGGAA